GGGGGAAUUGCCAAAGGUAGGGCAGCAUAUUUAUUUGCAAUCCGCAGGUUUGCUUUUGCAGGUUCAAUUCCUGUUUCCCCCC
rnacentral:tRNA from 1 species